UACGUAGGGGCUAGCGUUAUCCGGAAUUACUGGGCGUAAAGGGUGCGUAGGUGGUUUCUUAAGUCAGAGGUGAAAGGCUACGGCUCAACCGUAGUAAGCCUUUGAAACUGAGAAACUUGAGUGCAGGAGAGGAGAGUAGAAUUCCUAGUGUAGCGGUGAAAUGCGUAGAUAUUAGGAGGAAUACCAGUUGCGAAGGCGGCUCUCUGGACUGUAACUGACACUGAGGCACGAAAGCGUGGGAGCAAACAGGAUUAGAUACCCCUGUAGUCCCUGA
rnacentral:rRNA from 1 species